GAGGCCUGCAUGAAUGGCUUGACGAGCGCCCUGCUGUCUCUCUUCCCAUGAACUUUUAAAUUAACUUUCGCGUGCAAAGGCGCGAAUGGCUGAGUUAGACGAAAAGACCCUAUGCAUCUUUACUGAGAGAGAAGAAAGUUCUUUAGCUUGGUUUAGCUGGGGCAGCUGAGGAAAAGGCAAAAUUUCCUUAAUAUAAAUCAUACUGGUGGGUUUAGAUCCAGGCUCUUUAGCGGGCUUGACAAGUAGAAAAGUUACGCUAGGGAUAACAGCGUUAUCCUUCUGUGGAGGUCUUAUCUGCAGGAGGGAUUGCGACCUCGAUGUUGAAUUAGGGAUAUACCAGAAAGGCGCAGAAGCUUUUAUUGUGGGUCUGU
rnacentral:rRNA from 1 species